rnacentral:sRNA from 14 species
AUCGGUCUUCGGUCAAGGGUAUAUGAGUAGCUGCGUUCUCCUGCUAGAACCUCCAAACAAGCUCUGAUGGUCCAUUGUAGGAAUGUAGGGUAGUGAAGC